UGAACGCUGGCGGUAUGCUUAACACAUGCAAGUCGAACGGAAACGAUACUAGCUUGCUAGUAGGCGUCGAGUGGCGGACGGGUGAGUAACGCGUAGGAAUCUGCCUGAUAGUGGGGGAUAGCCCGAAGAAAUUCGGAUUAAUACCGCAUAAUCUAUUCGUAGUAAAGUGGGGGACUUUCGAGCCUCACGCUAUCAGAUGAGCCUGCGUAAGAUUAGCUUGUUGGUAGGGUAAAAGCCUACCAAGGCAACGAUCUUUAGCUGGUCUGAGAGGAUGAUCAGCCACAUCGGGACUGAGACACGGCCCGAACUCCUACGGGAGGCAGCAGUGGGGAAUAUUGGACAAUGGGGGCAACCCUGAUCCAGCAAUACCGCGUGUGUGAAGAAGGCCUGAGGGUUGUAAAGCACUUUCAAUUGUGAAGAAAAGUUAACGGUUAAUAACCGUUGACCUUGACGUUAACUUUAGAAGAAGCACCGGCUAACUCCGUGCCAGCAGCCGCGGUAAUACGGAGGGUGCAAGCGUUAAUCGGAAUUACUGGGCGUAAAGCGUGCGUAGGCGGUUUAUUAAGUCAGAUGUGAAAGCCCCGGGCUUAACCUGGGAACUGCAUUUGAAACUGGUCAACUAGAGUAUGGUAGAGGAAAGUGGAAUUUCUGGUGUAGCGGUGAAAUGCGUAGAUAUCAGAAGGAACAUCAAUGGCGAAGGCAGCUUUCUGGACCAAUACUGACGCUGAGGUACGAAAGCGUGGGUAGCAAACAGGAUUAGAUACCCUGGUAGUCCACGCCGUAAACGAUGAUAACUAGCCGUUGGGGGGAUUUACCCCUUAGUGGCGAAGCCAACGCGUUAAGUUAUCCGCCUGGGGAGUACGGCCGCAAGGCUAAAACUCAAAGGAAUUGACGGGGACCCGCACAAGCGGUGGAGCAUGUGGUUUAAUUCGAUGCAACGCGAAGAACCUUACCUGGUCUUGACAUCCUGCGAACUUUCUAGAAAUAGAUUGGUGCCUUCGGGAACGCAGUGACAGGUGCUGCAUGGCUGUCGUCAGCUCGUGUCGUGAGAUGUUGGGUUAAGUCCCGUAACGAGCGCAACCCCUAUCCUUAUUUGCCAGCACAUUAUGGUGGGAACUAUAAGGAGACUGCCGGUGAUAAACCGGAGGAAGGCGGGGACGACGUCAAGUCAUCAUGGCCCUUACGACCAGGGCUACACACGUGCUACAAUGGGAAGGACAAAGAGCCGCGAAGCCGCGAGGUGUAGCUAAUCUCAUAAAUCUUUUCGUAGUCCGGAUUGGAGUCUGCAACUCGACUCCAUGAAGUCGGAAUCGCUAGUAAUCGUAGAUCAGAAUGCUACGGUGAAUACGUUCCCGGGUCUUGUACACACCGCCCGUCAUACCAUGGGAGUGGGUUGCACCAGAAGUGGCUAGUCUAACUUUGUGAGGACGGUCACCACGGUGUGAUUCAUGACUGGGGU
rnacentral:rRNA from 1 species